AACGAACGCUGGCGGCAGGCUUAACACAUGCAAGUCGAACGCCCCGCAAGGGGAGUGGCAGACGGGUGAGUAACGCGUGGGAACAUACCCUUUUCUACGGAAUAGCUCUGGGAAACUGGAAUUAAUACCGUAUACGCCCUACGGGGGAAAGAUUUAUCGGGGAAGGAUUGGCCCGCGUUGGAUUAGCUAGUUGGUGGGGUAAAGGCCUACCAAGGCGACGAUCCAUAGCUGGUCUGAGAGGAUGAUCAGCCACAUUGGGACUGAGACACGGCCCAAACUCCUACGGGAGGCAGCAGUGGGGAAUAUUGAACAAUGGGCGCAAGCCUGAUCCAGCCAUGCCGCGUGAGUGAUGAAGGCCUUAGGGUUGUAAAGCUCUUUUACCGAUGAAGAUAAUGACGGUAGUCGGAGAAGAAGCCCCGGCUAACUUCGUG
rnacentral:rRNA from 1 species